rnacentral:rRNA from 1 species
GGGCGCAAGCCUGAUCCAGCCAUGCCGCGUGUGUGAAGAAGGCCUUCGGGUUGUAAAGCACUUUCAGUGGGGAGGAAGGGGUGAAUGUUAAUAGUAUUCAUCUUUGACGUUACCCACAGAAGAAGCACCGGCUAACUCCGUGCCAGCAGCCGCGGUAAUA